UUUUAGAAUGUCACCACCCUGAACAUGCCUGAUCUCAUCUGAUCUCAGGAGCUAAGCAGGAUUGGGCCUGGUUAGUACUUGGAUGGAAGAAUAUUACUACCCAUAGUAUUUUAGUGA
rnacentral:rRNA from 1 species